GAUGAAGAACGUAGCGAAAUGUGAUAAGUAAUGUGAAUUGCAGAAUUCAGUGAAUCAUCGAAUCUUUGAACGCACAUUGCGCCCGCCAGUAUUCUGGCGGGCAUGCCUGUCCGAGCGUCAUUUCAACCCUCGAACCCCUCCGGGGGGUCGGCGUUGGGGAUCGGCCCUGCCUUUGGCGGUGGCCGUCUCCGAAAUACAGUGGCGGUCUCGCCGCAGCCUCUCCUGCGCAGUAGUUUGCACACUCGCAUCGGGAGCGCGGCGCGUCCACAGCCGUUAAACACCCAACUUCUGAAAUGUUGACCUCGGAUCAGGUAGGAAUACCCGCUGAACUUAAGCAUAUCAAUAAGCGGAGGA
rnacentral:misc_RNA from 1 species